rnacentral:rRNA from 1 species
AAGCGCUUGCAACCAGACUUGCGCGCGGCUGAUCAUCCGGUGUUCUCACCGGUGCACUCGGUCGCGCUCAGGCCAGCAUCGGUUUCGGUGGUUGGAUAAAGGCCUUGGGAAUGUAGCUUCUUUCGGGGAGUGUUAUAGCCCAUUGUGUAAUACCCUGUGGUGGACUGAGGUUCGCGCAUCUGCAAGGAUGCUGGCGUAAUGGU